AGUGGAUGGGGAGCAACCUAGUUGUGCGUGUGUAAAGGUAGUGCCAAGAAAAGCGAUGAUCAUGUUGAAAAUCAAUUCCCGGUACCCGAAACCGACACAGGUGGGCAAGUAGAGAAUACUAAGGGGCGCGAGGUAACUCUCUCCAAGGAACUCGGCAAAAUGACCCCGUAACUUAGGGAGAAGGGGUGCCACCGAGAGGUGGUCGCAGUGAAGAGGCCCAGGCGACUGUUUAGCAAAAACAUAGGUCUCUGCAAACUCGAAAGAGGAGGUAUAGGGGCUGACGCCUGCCCAGUGCCGGAAGGUUAAAGAAGUUGGUCAGUUUUAGGAUGGAGCUAGCGACUGAAGCCCCGGUGAACGGCGGCCGUAACUAUAACGGUCCUAAGGUAGCGAAAUUCCUUGUCGGGUAAGUUCCGACCCGCACGAAAGGCGUAACGAUCUGGGCGCUGUCUCGGAGAGAGGCUCGGCGAAAUAGGAUUGUCUGUGAAGAUACGGACUACCUGCAUUUGGACAGAAAGACCCUAUGAAGCUUUACUAUAGCUUGGAAUUGUGUUCGGGCUUCCUGUGCGCAGGAUAGGUGGGAGGCGUAGAAGGUAUUCUUGUGGGGAUACUGGAGCCAACGGUGAGAUACCACUCUCAGGAGGCUAGAAUUCUAACUUAAUUAAGGACAGUUUCAGGUGGGUAGUUUGACUGGGGCGGUCGCCUCCAAAAAGGUAACGGAGGCGUACAAAGGUUCCCUCAGACUGGUUGGAAAUCAGUCGAAGAGUGCAAAGGCAGAAGGGAGCUUGACUGCGAGAAGUACAGUUCGAGCAGGGUGGAAACACGGUCUUAGUGAGCCGACGGUGCUGUGUGGAAGGGCCGUCGCUCAACGGAUAAAAGUUACUCUAGGAUAACAGGCUGAUCUCCCCCAAGAGUUCACAUCGACGGGGAGGUUUGGCACCUCGAUGUCGGCUCAUCGCAACCUGGGGCGGAAGUACGUCCCAAGGGUUGGGCUGUUCGCCCAUUAAAGCGGUACGUGAGCUGGGUUCAGAACGUCGUGAGACAGUUCGGUCCAUAUCCGAUGUAGGCGUGAGAAUAUUGAGAGGAGCCUUCCUUAGUACGAGAGGACCGGGAAGGACGCACCGCUGGUGUACCUGUUAUGAUGCCAAUUGUAAACGCAGGGUAGCCAAGUGCGGAGAGGAUAACCGCUGAAAGCAUCUAAGUGGGAAGCCCACCUCAAGAUGAGUAUUCUUGUGUAAGGUCACGGGAAGACGACCCGUAAAUAGGCACGAGGUGGAAGUGCAGAGAUGUAUGAAGCCGAAGUGUACUAAUAGACCGUCGGCUUGACC
rnacentral:rRNA from 1 species